GAUGAACGCUGGCGGCGUGCCUAAUACAUGCAAGUCGAGCGAACAGACGAGGAGCUUGCUCCUCUGACGUUAGCGGCGGACGGGUGAGUCACACGUGGAUAACCUACCUAUAAGACUGGUAUAACUUCGGGAAACCGGAGCUAAUACCGGAUAAUAUAUUGAACCGCAUGGUUCAAUAGUGAAAGACGGUUUUGCUGUCACUUAUAGAUGGAUCCGCGCCGCAUUAGCUAGUUGGUAAGGUAAAGGCUUAGCAAGGCAACGAUGCGUAGCCGACGUGAGAGGGUGAUAGGCCGCAUUGGAACGGAGACACGCACCAUGCUCCUGCGGGAGGCAGCAGAAGGGAACCGUCCGCAAUGGGCGAAAGCCUUGCGGAGCAGCGCCGCGUGAGUGAUGAAGGUCUUCGGAGCGUAAAACUCUGUUAUUAGUGAAGAACAAAUGUGUAAGUAACUAUGCACGGCUUGACGGUACCUAAUCAGAAAGCCACGGCUAACUACGUG
rnacentral:rRNA from 1 species